rnacentral:rRNA from 1 species
CUAUCUGCCGUGGGCGCUGGAGAAUUGAGGGGGCUGCUCCUAGUACGAGAGGACCGGAGUGGACGCAUCACUGGUGUUCGGGUUGUCAUGCCAAUGGCACUGCCCGGUAGCUAAAUGCGGAAGAGAUAAGUGCUGAAAGCAUCUAAGCACGAAACUUGCCCCGAGAUGAGUUCUCCCUGAGACUUUAAGUCUCCUGAAGGAACGUUGAAGACGACGACGUUGAUAGGCCGGGUGUGUAAGCGCAGCGAUGCGUUGAGCUAACCGGUACUAAUGAACCGUGAGGCUUAACCUUACAACGCCGAAG